rnacentral:rRNA from 1 species
AGGCAGACGGCUCAGUAACGCGUAGUCAACCUACCCUAUGGACGGGAAUAAUCUCGGGAAACUGAGCAUAAUACCCGGCGUACCACCAUUCCUGGAAUGGUUGGUGGUUAAAAUGAUUCGUCGCCGUAGGAUGGGACUGCGACCUAUCAGCUUGUUGGUGAGGUAAGGGCCCACCAAGGCGAUUACAGGUACGGGCUCUGAGAGGAGAAGCCCGGAGAUGGGUACUGAGACACGGACCCAGGCCCUAUGGGGCGCAGCAGGCGAGAAAACUUUGCAAUGUGCGAAAGCACGACAAGGUUAAUCCGAGUGAUUUCUGCUAAAGGAAUCUUUUGCCAGUUCUAAAAAUACUAGUGAAUAAGGGGUGGGCAAGUUCUGGUGUCAGCCGCCGCGGUAAAACCAGCACCUCAAGUGGUCAGGAGGAUUAUUGGGCCUAAAGCAUCCGUAGCCUGCUCUGUAAGUUUUCGGUUAAAUCUAUAUGCUCAACACAUAGGCUGCCGAAAAUACUGCAGUGCUAGGAAGUGGGAGAGGUAGACGGUACUUGAUAGGAAGGGGUAAAAUCCUUUGACCUAUCGAUGACCACCUGUGGCGAAGGCGGUCUACCAGAACACGUUCGACGGUGAGGGAUGAAAGCUGGGGGAGCAAACCGGAUUAGAUACCCGGGUAGUCCCAGCUGUAAACGAUGCUGACUCGAUGAUGCAUUGGCAUAUAGCCAGUGCAGUGUCGCA